GGGAGGGGAAGAAAAUGAUGUGGAAAAAGAAUAGAUUGAGAAUUCACAAAACUCUUAGGCUCAGAAGACUCCAGGCUCCUAAGGAAGCUUCUAAGGAAGAACAAGAUGCGGGAAUGGUACUUUUAUGAAGACUUUUAUGUGGCUCCUCCACACACAACUUUGAGAAGAAACAACCAUUUGUCCAGGAUGACUUGGAUAUCCAUCUGUCCGAACCCACGGAGUGAACAAGAAGAAGAUGGUGAAACCAUUCCCGCAAUGAUGGAGACGAAGUCAUGAAGAGGCAGGAAUGCUUGUGAGCUCCCUGAGGCAGAGACCACACCUUGCUCUCUCAUCUAUCAACCAUGAAGUCCAGCCUGACACCAACAUGCAUUCAGUGAAUGGAAAAUUGGAAGAGGAGCAGUCUCCUUGUGGGUUUAUUUUUCUGAUAUGUGUUCCAGAAGUUUGCUCCCCAUUGGACCGCAGGUGCUGCCACUAUCGCCUCACAUCAAAUGUAGCUUCCCAGAGGGCACACCUGUGAGCAGGGUCUGCAGGGAAGUGUCCAGUGUCCAGUGUCCAGGAGCCAGGCACCCAGGAGACACUAACUGCAAGGACACCCUGUCCACUCUGCUCCUGAUACCUUUCUGGGUUCCAAUCCCCUGUGCUCAGUCCCCAGUCUUCCCAGCUUCAUGAGGUCUCUGAUUUAGUCUGUGUAUUGUUGGAGGGAACAUAAUACCAGUUUAGUUGCCCUUAGGCAGUCCAAACCAGGAAAACUGAGAAAUCAAACCUCAGAAUUUCAUAGAGUAGUGGUGACCUCAAGGCCUGGUUUCCUUUCUUCCUAUUUUGAAAUCUUCCCAAGGUGGCAAGUUUGGUUUUUGCACCUCUGUUCCCAGCUCCCAUAUCUUCAUGAGGAGGGGUCUCAGAGGGUGCCCUCUGCCUGAUGGUUUCCUGUAUUAUUUCUGCAACUUCAAAACACCCACCUGGUGCUGUGCAGGGAGAAAGCCCCGGAUACAUAGCUGCUGAUUGGAAUUAAAAGGACGGAGAAAACCAAAAUGAGUAGACUCAAUGGGAGAUUAAUUGCAUAGGAGUCUGUUGACUGCAUGACUGAAGCUGGAUUUUUUUCGGAACCGCUGACUGCCUUCACAUUUCCUGGUGGA